rnacentral:lncRNA from 1 species
AAGAACAAAGUUUUGUCCAUCUUUGUUCAUCAUAGCUGAAAGUUAGAGAAGAGAAAGGAGAGGAGAAAGCUCUUGAGUAUUCGGUCAUUAGGAGGAAAAUUGAAGGUAAGUUCUUGGUACCUCGCUUCUAUUUUGAGGUUCAUGAGUUCUUCUUGAUUCUACCUUAACUCUUGGAGUAUAUUUUGAUUUUUAGUUGUGUUGUGAGCAUUUAGUCAUGAAUUAAAAUGAAGGAAAUGGUUGUUGUUUCAUGUUCUUUUGAUGAAAAAUGGAAGAUAGGUGAAGUUGAGCCAAACAAAUGAGCAUGCAUGUGCCUUAGAUGUUAAAGGGAAAAAUCAGCUAACAUGUUGUGCUUUAAAAUGAUGAAAUGGAGAUUAUACUUAAGUAAAAUCAUAGAUAUGUGAUGAUUGAUUGGUGAUAUACAUGUUUAAAUAACAAGCAUGCAAGUUAGGUGGGAAAGAGUGAUUUGGUAAUAAAUCUGCUUGGGACAGCAGCAGUAACGUGACUUUGGAAAAUCACCAUAAAUUGUGGGAGAUGAGUUAGAAGCUGCAUAAAUUAUUUAAUUAAAGCUUAAUGAGUCUAGUUUCAAAUGGAAUAAACUAGAAUAUAUUUUGAAUUCUGUACAAUGAGAAAUUUGAUUCGUAAUGAAGAGUGGUCAGAUUAGUCAAACAGUGAAACAUGGGAAACUUUAAGAAAAAUCUGGUAUUGAUUGGCCAUACCAAAAAUUCUGAAAAUUUUAUGGAUAGAAUAUAUAUGAGUCUAUUUUCAGGGAAAAUUAACGGCACUUGAUUUGGAGUUUCGUAGCUCCAGUUAUAAAUAAUUUAGUGACUAUUGCUCAGGAAGACAGCUUGCAGUGAAAUUAUGAUUAUGUGGUAAACAUUGACAAAAAUUUGUUAAUGAGUUGCUUAUUGUUUUCUUAUAAGCUUACUAUGAUCUGUAGGUGUGGUUGGCCGAAUAUUGUAAGGGGUUAAUAUGUAGUUUGUAUUUGAAUAGUUAGAUUAACGUGUUAGUAAUCCAAUUGUAGGCGGUUCGUGUGUGGAUCUCGUCAGCAUAUCGUCGCAAACAGGUGUGUAACUAACACCCUCUUUCUUAGUCUGGAUCGGCAAAAGUCGAAAAGCCGAAAUGCCGAAAACCGGUAUUUUUUAGAUUUGCGAGUGUGCGAAUGCUCGUGAGGUAAAUCGAUUAAUGUUUUUGGUAAGCUGCAAAAUUUGGACUGCAAAGUGCAUGAUUUCUGUGACCUCGAUAUUUUUGGGCUUAAUGGGCCAAAAAUUGGAAUGAUGGGCCAACGGGCCCAAUUCGGUAAGAACACUCGGUAUGUGAUUCUGUUAGUACGUGAAAAGUAGGAAUAUGCAUGAAAAACCCUAAAUUAGAUAAAUUACUGAAAUACCUUUAAAAGUGAAAAAUUUAUAGUUUUACCCCUAGUAGAUAAAUUACCGAAAUACCCCUAUGGUUAAAUUGACCUAAAUGCAUGUUUGAUUGUUGUUAUUUACUGCAUGCCAUGUUGUUAUUAUUUGAUGCAUAGGACUGGGAUAUUGAUGGAGGAAGUACUGAAAGUGGCUUGUCCACGUACUGGAGGUUUUGCCUCAAUUUACUGUUAACUGAGCAGCAAGGCUGCAACUGUGGAGUGUUGGGCUGGGUGGGUUGAGCUAUUCCCCACAUGGAGUGUAUGGCUGGUACGGGUGAAGUGUAGUGGUUGGUGGGUUGAGUAGUCUCCCCAAAUGGGCUUGCAUAUGUUAUUGAUGUUGCAUGUAUUUUGAAAUGGGCCUAUGGGCCAUACUGUUAUCUGAAUAAGGGGCUAAGGCCCAGUUUAUUGUAAUCUGAAAAGGGCUCUGGCCCAGUACCACUGUUACCUGAAUGGGCUUAGGCCCAAUAGGCUUGAGCUGACUUGGGCUUUGAAUGGGUUUUCCUUACACACUGAGUUUCCCCAAACUCACCCUUUUUAUUUUCAUCCACGCAGGAAAUCCCCAACCAUAGUGGGCUUGGAGCUGUGAGGGAAUUCGGAGUGGCCACCCGUUCUGAAAGUUUGAUUUUCUUCUGGUGAACUGGACAUCCUUUUAAUUACGUUUGAGGUUUUAGGCUUUUAAAUGUAAUAAGGCCACUUAUUUAUUUUUGAUGGUUUUUAAUAUGUAUUACUAAGAUAGGUAAUACUUAUUUUAACUGUUGAAAUUGGAUAGCUUUAGGGAGCGUUUUCAAAAACAACAGUUGAUUUCAAAAU